UCAACCUCACAGUUGCUUUUUCCCCUCCAUCCAUUUCUGUGGAGCAGUAUAAUGGAAUCCUUCAGACAAAUGCCCAUAAUAACUCUCAUUCCUGCUUCUGAGUUUCUAGUAAAAAGAAGAUUAAUGUGGAAAUUAAUGUAAUCUAUGCAUUAAUAAAUAGAACAUUUAUUUAAACGGGUCAAUUUUUCUCUCAAUUUGAUUAUAACAAAUAUUGUGUUUUGAAAAGU
rnacentral:lncRNA from 1 species